rnacentral:rRNA from 1 species
GAUCCUGGCUCAGAUUGAACGCUGGCGGCAGGCCUAACACAUGCAAGUCGAGCGGAAACGAUGGGAGCUUGCUCCCAGGCGUCGAGCGGCGGACGGGUGAGUAAUGCAUAGGAAUCUGCCCGGUAGUGGGGGAUAACCUGGGGAAACUCAGGCUAAUACCGCAUACGUCCUACGGGAGAAAGCAGGGGAUCUUNGGACCUUGCGCUAUCGGAUGAGCCUAUGUCGGAUUAGCUAGUUGGUGAGGUAAUGGCUCACCAAGGCCGCGAUCCGUAGCUGGUCUGAGAGGAUGAUCAGCCACAUCGGGACUGAGACACGGCCCGAACUCCUACGGGAGGCAGCAGUGGGGAAUAUUGGACAAUGGGCGAAAGCCUGAUCCAGCCAUGCCGCGUGUGUGAAGAAGGCCCUCGGGUUGUAAAGCACUUUCAGUGAGGAAGAAGGCUUGUGGGUUAAUACCCCGCAAGAAGGACAUCACUCACAGAAGAAGCACCGGCUAACUCCGUGCCAGCAGCCGCGGUAAUACGGAGGGUGCGAGCGUUAAUCGGAAUUACUGGGCGUAAAGCGCGCGUAGGCGGCUUGAUAAGCCGGUUGUGAAAGCCCCGGGCUCAACCUGGGAACGGCAUCCGGAACUGUCAGGCUAGAGUGCAGGAGAGGAAGGUAGAAUUCCCGGUGUAGCGGUGAAAUGCGUAGAGAUCGGGAGGAAUACCAGUGGCGAAGGCGGCCUUCUGGACUGACACUGACGCUGAGGUGCGAAAGCGUGGGUAGCAAACAGGAUUAGAUACCCUGGUAGUCCACGCCGUAAACGAUGUCGACUAGCCGUUGGGGUCCUCGAGACCUUUGUGGCGCAGUUAACGCGAUAAGUCGACCGCCUGGGGAGUACGGCCGCAAGGUUAAAACUCAAAUGAAUUGACGGGGGCCCGCACAAGCGGUGGAGCAUGUGGUUUAAUUCGAUGCAACGCGAAGAACCUUACCUACCCUU